rnacentral:rRNA from 1 species
AUUGAACGCUGGCGGCAGGCCUAACACAUGCAAGUCGAGCGGAGCGGCAGACGGGGGAGGAAUGCCUAGGAAUCUGCAUGUGAGUGGGGGAUAACGUCCAGUAACGGGCGCUAAUACCGCAUACUAUCAGAAUAGGCUAGGUCGGAUUAGCAAGUGGGUGGGGUAGAGGCCUACCAAGGCGACGGUCCGUAACUGGUAUGAGAGGAUGAUCAGUCACACUGUAACUUGGACACGGUCCAGACUCCUACGGGAGGCAGCAGUGGGGAAUAUUGGACAAUGGGCGCAAGCCUGAUGCAGCCAUGCCGCGUGUAUGAAGAAGGCCUUCGGGUUGUAAAGUACUUUCAGUCGGGAGGCGUUACCGGCAGAAGAAGCACCGGCUAACUCCGUGCCAGCAGCCGCGGUAAUUC